rnacentral:snRNA from 1 species
GUGCUCACUUCAGAAGCACAUAUACUAAAGAUGGAACAAUAUACAGAGAAGAUCAGUAUGGCCCCUGUGCAAGGAUGACACGCAAAUUCGUGAAGUGUUCCAUAGUUUA